AUGGAAACUGACUGCCAAGACCUUGUCAACUUCUGGAAUUUGCGUCAAUCUUCUCGGACAGUAGUGGCGCCUAUCUUAGAUGAAAUAGGGGAGCAUGCCUUGUCUUUUACUUCUUUUGUUGUUCAGCAUGUUUCUAGAUCAGCAAACACCUCCGCCCAUCUGUGUGCUAGGCAAGCGAGCACUCUAGAUGUGACGGACUGCUGGUUAGAGUCGAAACCUAGCUUUCUUGUAACUAGUCUCUUGGCAGAUACUGCCGGAGCCUUUGCUGAAUAA
rnacentral:rRNA from 1 species